GCUUUCGUGGUGUAGCGAUCAGCACACUCGGCCCCUAUUCGAGAGGUCUGUGGUUCGAGUCCCGGCGAGGGCA
rfam:Stegodyphus mimosarum contig6325, whole genome shotgun sequence.